rnacentral:rRNA from 1 species
UAUUCCUACGGGGCGCAGCAGUAGGGAAUUUUCGUCAAUGGGCGCAAGCCUGAACGAGCGAUGCCGCGCGAGUGAAGAAGGCCUUCGGGUCGUAAAGCUCUGUUGCGGGGGAAGAAAGGCAGCAUCAGGAAAUGGGUGCUGACUGAUGGUGCCCCGCCAGGAAGUCACGGCUAACUACGUGCCAGCAGCCGCGGUAAUACGUAGGUGGCGAGCGUUAUCCGGAAUGAUUGGGCGUAAAGGGUGCGCAGGCGGUCCUGCAAGUCUGGAGUGAAACGCAUGAGCUCCACUCA